rnacentral:rRNA from 1 species
CCUACGGGAGGCUGCAGUGAGGAAUAUUGGUCAAUGGACGAGAGUCUGAACCAGCCAAGUAGCGUGAAGGAUGACUGCCCUAUGGGUUGUAAACUUCUUUUAUAAAGGAAUAAAACGAGGCACGUGUGCUUUUUUGCAUGUACUUUAUGAAUAAGGAUCGGCUAACUCCGUGCCAGCAGCCGCGGUAAUACGGAGGAUCCGAGCGUUAUCCGGAUUUAUUGGGUUUAAAGGGAGCGUAGACGGGUUGUUAAGUCAGUUGUGAAAGUUUGCGGCUCAACCGUAAAAUUGCAAUUGAUACUGGCAUUCUUGAGUACAGUUGAGGUAGGCGGAAUUCGUGGUGUAGCGGUGAAAUGCUUAGAUAUCACGAAGAACCCCGAUUGCGAAGGCAGCUUACUAAACUGUGACUGACGUUGAUGCUCGAAAGUGUGGGUAUCAAACAGGAUUAGAUACCCUGGUAGUC